UAAACCAAACCACCCCUUCCUCAGUACAUACACUUCACAUAGAUUCUUUGUUUAUGCCUAGUAGUACUUUGCACGGCUAUUUCUACAAUUGCUGCCCAACUUCAGAUCUCUCCAAUUCUUUGACAUAAGCAUAAACAAACUAGUAAUUCAUUGUUUCUCUUCCCUUUUUUUGUUUUCUUCCUCCACCCCUUAUCUUAUACCAAGAAAAAGCCACAGAAAACCUGCGUCUGCACUAAAAAGAUCCAAUUUUGUUACUUUCUUCUAUUCUUUAGAAUUAUUGAUAGCUGCUGUCCAUUAAUUACACGUAGUUUGUAACUAUCUUCCUUCUACCUUCCUCUUUCUGCUGUUUCAUUGAUAUUAUCAGUGUAAAGUUAGAAGCUUUUGCAGGUUUUUUGACAACUUGGUCUCACGAGUUGGCUGAAUGAAUAGUACCCAUUAAUUCUUAUUGGUUGGUCAAGUUGUUUCUUUUGGUCUUUUUUGUGGGUCCUUUUUGUUCAUUUUUCAGUUUUCGCGUUUUUGGAUCCUUGGACGAUAAUUUCAGAGCCAUGUGUUUGGUACUAUCCCAACAAUAUCAUAUGUUAGUUUUCUUGCGUCUUUCUUAUCAUAAUUCUCAUUGAGGUUUUUUUUCCUUUCAUUUUUGGUCCUUAGCUUUCAACUGUUCAGUCUUCCUUUCUUUUUCUGUGUUUUCCUGAGAAUUUUGGUUUGUUAGUCUUCCUUUGGUCAAAAUAUCAUCAAAUUGCUAUUUCUAGAUUGUUCUUGGCUUCAAAGUUUGUGUCUUUAGCAGAAUCUUGUUCUUAGUUUUUUCUUUUUUGUGUGUGUGAUGGGGUCUUUGAGAUUUUUCUAUUUAGUAAUCAUAUUCUUGUUUUUCCUAUUUGUGCCUGAGACUUGUAU
rnacentral:lncRNA from 1 species